rnacentral:lncRNA from 1 species
AUGCACCAGAGGAAUCUGGUUCUAGAAAAAAAAAACACUUCUAUAGAGGAUGUAGGGAAAGGCAAGGCUGAUUAUUCAAAUCCUGCCUUUCUCACUUAUUACUUGUAUGCCUCUGGGCAAGUCAAAGUAAUUCUCUGGAUCUUAAUUUCUUCAUUUACAAAGUAAGGGAUUGGACUAGAAUGAGGUGGCUUGCAUUUGGGGGUUCAUUGAUGAUAGUUCAAGAGGUUUGUUUUAAAAUUCCUUAAGGAGGGCUUACUCAAAAAUAAUUUGUAAAGAAUAUUGUGAAUUGUAUAUUAAAUUAUAUUAUUGGUAAUGAUGCUAGUGAAAGGGUUAGUGGAACCACUGGAUUCGAUUUUGUUGUUAUUCAGUUGUUUUUCAGUCGGGUCUGACUCGGAGUGAUUGUGUCUGGGGUUUUCUUGGCAGAGAUACUGGAGCAGUUGGCCAUUUCCUUCUCUAGCUCAUUUCACAGAGGAGGAAACCAAAGUAAACAGAGUUAAGUGACUUGCCCAGGGUCACACUGCUACGAAGUGUCUGAGGUUUAAUUUGAACUCACAGAGAUGAAUCUUCCCAACUACAGGGCUGGUGCUCUCUCCACUGCACCCCGUAACGGCCCUCUGGAUUAUAGAGAUAACCCCCCAACAUCCUUGUCAGAUCUCACCCAAGGAAUCUCAUGAUCUGGAAUCUAAAACAUCUGGCUUAUCUGCUUUGGAACUUGGGGUGAAAACAAAAAUGCCCCUGUGGGCCAAAAGGUGAAACAAAAAACCUAACCCGAGGCAGGGAUGGGGAAGGCAGAAUGCCUCAGGAUGGGAUCAGGGAGGACUGAGAACGUGCUAACUCAGGGGGUCUGAACACCUCUGCGGCAGCAGGAUGCUGAGACCUUGUAAGAGAGGAGGAGGCAGGAGGGCAGCAAAAGGAACAGUCUGUUCUCUCAUUUAUUAAAGUCGGCUUUCUCCGGCCACAUUGCAACUUGAUACAAACAGCCCAGCAGAGGGGGUAGUGCAUUAAAUCUUGUUCCUGCCAAUGUAAACACAACAGUAAUAGUGAGGAAGAAAGAAAAUGGUAAAAAGUCCAGUGUCUCCUCAUUGUGGGUGGUGGUGACUCCUCUGGGAGGAUCAUCCUCCAGCAGAUUCCUGGAGAGGCCAAGGC